UACGAAGGGUGCAAGCGUUACUCGGAAUUACUGGGCGUAAAGCGUGCGUAGGUGGUUGUUUAAGUCUGCUGUGAAAGCCCUGGGCUCAACCUGGGAAUUGCAGUGGAUACUGGGCGACUAGAGUGUGGUAGAGGAUAGUGGAAUUUCCGGUGUAGCAGUGAAAUGCGUAGAGAUCGGAAGGAACAUCUGUGGCGAAGGCGGCCAGCUGGGUCGUCCCUGACGCUGA
rnacentral:rRNA from 1 species